GGGGUUGUGGCUCAUCGGUAGAGCACUCAUCUUGCACAUGCGAGACCCUGGGUUCAAUCCUCAGCACCA
rfam:Ictidomys tridecemlineatus contig073082, whole genome shotgun sequence.